rnacentral:hammerhead_ribozyme from 1 species
AUCCAGUAGAAGGACGAGUCCCAAAUAGGACGAAAUGCGCAUCCUGGAU